AUACGUAGGGGCGAGCGUUGUCCGGAAUGAUUGGGCGUAAAGGGCGCGUAGGCGGCCCGGUAAGUCUGGAGUGAAAGUCCUGUUUUUAAGAUGGGAAUUGCUUUGGAUACUGUCGGGCUUGAGUGCAGGAGAGGUAAGUGGAAUUCCCAGUGUAGCGGUGAAAUGCGUAGAGAUUGGGAGGAACACCAGUGGCGAAGGCGACUUACUGGACUGUAACUGACGCUGAGGCUCGAAAGUGUGGGGAGCAAACAGGAUUAGAUACCCUGGUAGUCCACACUGUAAACGAUGAAUGCUAGGUGUAGGGGGUAUCGACCCCUUCUGUGCCGCAGUCAACACAAUAAGCAUUCCGCCUGGGGAGUACGGCCGCAAGGUUGAAACUCAAAUGAAUUGACGGGG
rnacentral:rRNA from 1 species